GGAGAGAUGGUAGAGUGGUCGAUUACGGCAGUCUUGAAAACUGUUGAGGUGCGAGCCUCCGGGGGUUCGAAUCCCUCUCUCUCCG
rnacentral:tRNA from 1 species